UAAAAGUACCAUAGUAUGGUGAAAACACCCAGCUUCGUCAGGUCAUGGAUGUUAAGCGUCGUCUGGCCAGGAUAGUGCUUGGAUGGGGGGCCGCCUGGUAACUUCUGGUUUCAC
rnacentral:rRNA from 1 species